UACGUAGGGUGCAAGCGUUAAUCGGAAUUACUGGGCGUAAAGCGUGCGCAGGCGGUUGUGCAAGUCAGAAGUUAAAUCCCCGGGCUUAACCUGGGAAUUGCAUUUGUGACUGCACGGCUAGAGUGUGUCAGAGGGGGGUAGAAUUCCACGUGUAGCAGUGAAAUGCGUAGAUAUGUGGAGGAAUACCGAUGGCGAAGGCAGCCCCCUGGGAUAACACUGACGCUCAUGCACGAAAGCGUGGGGAGCAAACAGG
rnacentral:rRNA from 1 species